rnacentral:rRNA from 1 species
GACGAACGCUGGCGGCGUGCUUAACACAUGCAAGUCGAACGGAAAGGCCCUGCUUUUGUGGGGUGCUCGAGUGGCGAACGGGUGAGUAACACGUGAGUAACCUGCCCUUGACUUUGGGAUAACUUCAGGAAACUGGGGCUAAUACCGGAUAGGAGCUCCUGCUGCAUGGUGGGGGUUGGAAAGUUUCGGCGGUUGGGGAUGGACUCGCGGCUUAUCAGCUUGUUGGUGGGGGAGUGGCUUACCAAGGCUUUGACGGGUAGCCGGCCUGAGAGGGUGACCGGCCACAUUGGGACUGAGAUACGGCCCAGACUCCUACGGGAGGCAGCAGUGGGGAAUAUUGCACAAUGGGCGGAAGCCUGAUGCAGCAACGCCGCGUGCGGGAUGACGGCCUUCGGGUUGUAACCCGCUUUCGCCUGUGACGAAGAGUGAGUGACGGUAAUGGGUAAAGAAGCACCGGCUAACUACGUG